CCUGCCCUCCCUCCCAAUGUCCAGGCACGGGAAGAAGGAUUUGCAAAUUUCUCACUUGUGCCUUGGCUUAAGCAAAGCUUUCUGCCCUCAUUCGAGCCAAGGCAGGGUGGAGCUGGCUGCACCUGACUCCCCUGUGCUGGGCACUGGGAGUAGAAGCGCUGCUGAGGGGUCAACAGCAAUCACACAAGGGUGGAAAGUGCCUACUGUGCACCAGGUGGACACUGCGCGAGGAUGGGGACUAGUGGUCAAAGUGGACACUGGCCCACUGGACUUCCAAUACUAAAACCAGAACAGUCCUGGGCCCACUGGGACAGCUGAUUGCCUCGUAGGAAAUGACCUUCCAAUGGAGUCCACAAGGAAGACUCCUGGCCUCACCCCUCAACCGUUGGAUGAAUAAUGUGGCUUUGUAGUACUGAAAUUCUUGGAAGAAGAUGUGCUGCAGAGCAGAUGAAGAACUCAGUCCAGAGAAGCAUGAGGAUGUGCCCAAAGUCACACAGCCAGGAUGGAAUGUGGCACUUGUACUGGCCCAGUCCCAGUUUGUUUCAGCUUCAACUACAGUAGCUACCCAUGUUGAAGACACCAUCAAUUCUCAAGGUCACAUUUAUUUGGGAGAAAUGAGAGACGGUGUUUCAAUUCUUUUUGUCUUUCCAUCGGUUAUUUAUUAGAUUUCCCCUUUCUCUAUUCUUUAUCACUUUUCUUAAGGAGGUAACAAAAUGGCUUUCCCAAUUUUCUUCUGGGACUAAGUCCCACUGGGAUCAACCUUUCUUUCUCCAGGUUGUAGCCAGCUAGAUUUGAUUGUAUGGAUAAUGCCUGACCUUGGGCUGUUGAAAGGCCCUUUGUUUGUGGAUUACAAGCGUUUAUUCAGUUUAUCCCAUUCAUUCUGCCACCCUCCUACUUUUUGAGUUGGGAGGUUAUGACCUGGGGCAAAUUGUUGAUGGAAGAGAACUUUAAGCACUGAGUUGUGGUGUGUGUUCAGUCCAAUCCACUUUCACCUCCCUCAGCUGGUGAAGGUUAUGACUACAGCCCAAUUCUCUAGUGACUCACUUCAGGAAAAGGACAUGUGAGAAGGACCAGGCUCUCAUGGGACUGCUUGCCAGGGUUGCCAAAACAGAGAUGGCAUUGUUCAGGGAAGAUUCAGGAAGUCAAAAUCAGAGAAAAGUGUGCACGGUCAGCUUACCCGCCGGGCUGGAACUGAACGUAUUUUUUCCCCUGUUGAUCAAUCUGUAUAUUCACUUCCACAAGGACGCUCAGAGGACUUCUAGAAUAUUUACUCCUUCUGGUCUCAAAUCCAGCAUUCCUGAUGGGCCAGCAAAGGGCGAGGGGGCCAGUAUUUCUGUAGGUGCUUUCCCUGGUGCCACACAGUUGUGACAUCUUCUGGAUAGCCCUUUCAUAUAAACACAACCCC